rnacentral:tRNA from 1 species
GGUAUAGCUCAGUGGUAGAGCACAUGCUUAGCAUGCAUGAGGCACUGAGUUCCAUCCACAGCACUACCA